CUAAUUUGGCUACAAGACAAAAUAAGAAGUCGGCGGAGCACCCCCUCGACGUGAAGUCGAGCCAACCACGUCGAGCCCGUGUGAUUCUUCAAAGGUAGCUCCUUCUGGCGUCCUACUCGACGUGUCAUCGAGUCCGUGUGGUCGAGUCUGCUCCCAGGCGGCUUCCUGGCGUCCUACUCGACGUGAAGUCGAGCCAUGACGUCGAGUCUGGUCCUGGGUAAUCUUGAACGACUUCAUUCCUCUCAAACUCGAUCCCAAGUCUAGCUCCAAGGUCGUGUUGGUCCCUCCUUGCUCCAUUAAGUCCCAAAUAAGCUCCAAAGUACCUGAAACUCAUCCAAUAUGCAACAUGCUAUGCCAUGCAAUGCAAAUCGUACUAAGUGAUGAAAAUGU
rnacentral:lncRNA from 1 species